GAUCCUGGCUCAGGAUGAACGCUGGCGGCGUGCUUAACACAUGCAAGUCGAGCGAUGAAGUUUCCUUAGGGAAACGGAUUAGCGGCGGACGGGUGAGUAACACGUGGGUAACCUGCCUCAUAGAGUGGAAUAGCCUUUCGAAAGGAAGAUUAAUACCGCAUAAUGUUGAAAGAUGGCAUCAUCAUUUAACCAAAGGAGUAAUCCGCUAUGAGAUGGACCCGCGGCGCAUUAGCUAGUUGGUGGGG
rnacentral:rRNA from 1 species